rnacentral:rRNA from 1 species
CUAAGAAUUUUCCGCAAUGGGCGAAAGCCUGACGGAGCGACGCCGCGUGACUGAUGAAGGCCCUUUGGGUUGUAAAGGUCUUUUAUCGGGGAAGAAUAAUGACAUUACCCGGUGAAUAAGCCCCGGCUAAUUACGUGCCAGCAGCCGCGGUAAUACGUAAGGGGCAAGCGUUGUUCGGAAUUACUGGGCGUAAAGGGUACGUAGGCGGAUUGCCAAGUUGAAUGUGAAAUCUUCGGGCUCAACCCGGAAACUGCGUCCAAAACUGGCAGUCUAGAAUCUGGGAUAGGAAAACGGAAUUCCUAGUGUAGGAGUGAAAUCUAUAGAUAUUAGGAAGAACACCGAUGGCGUAGGCAGUUUUCUGACCCAAGAUUGACGCUGAGGUACGAAAGCUAGGGGAGCGAACGGG